GCAGCACUGUGUUGAGUGUAUCCUCUCUAUUGAGUACAACUGUGGAUAGAUCACAUCUCGCAUUGCACUCAAUAGUGGGGCUCCUUUCAGCACCUGAUAUC
rnacentral:pre_miRNA from 1 species